rnacentral:rRNA from 1 species
UACGUAGGGCGCAAGCGUUGUCCGGAAUUAUUGGGCGUAAAGAGCUCGUAGGCGGCUUGUCACGUCGAUUGUGAAAGCCCGAGGCUUAACCUCGGGUCUGCAGUCGAUACGGGCUAGCUAGAGUGUGGUAGGGGAGAUCGGAAUUCCUGGUGUAGCGGUGAAAUGCGCAGAUAUCAGGAGGAACACCGGUGGCGAAGGCGGAUCUCUGGGCCUUACCUGACGCUCAGGCGCGAAAGCUAGGGGAGCGAACUGG